GAUGAACGCUGGCGGCGUGCCUAAUACAUGCAAGUCGAGCGAACAGACGAGGAUCUUGCUCCUCUGACGUUAGCGGCGGACGGGUGAGUAAAACGUGGAUAACCUACCUAUAAGACUGGGAUAACUUCGGGAAACCGGAGCUAAUACCGGAUAAUAUAUUGAACCGCAUGGUUCAAUAGUGAAAGACGGUUUUGCUGUCACUUAUAGAUGGAUCCGCGCCGCAUUAGCUAGUUGGUAAGGUAACGGCUUACCAAGGCGACGAUGCGUAGCCGACCUGAGAGGGUGAUCGGCCACACUGGAGCUGGGACGCGGUCAAGACGCCUACGGGAGGCAGCAGUAGGGAAUCUUCCGCAAUGGGCGAGAGCCUGACGGAGCAACGCCGCGUGAGUGAUGAAGGUCUUCGGAUCGUAAAACUGUGUUAUUAGGGAAGAACAAAUGUGUAAGUAACUAUGCACGUCUUGACGGUACCUAAUCAGAAAGCCACGGCUAACUACGUG
rnacentral:rRNA from 1 species